rnacentral:rRNA from 1 species
ACUGCUCAGUAACACGUAGUCAACAUGCCCAGAGGACGUGGAUAACCUCGGGAAACUGAGGAUAAACCGCGAUAGGUCAUGAUUUCUGGAAUGGUUCAUGGCCGAAAUCUAUAUGGCCUUUGGAUUGGACUGCGGCCGAUCAGGCUGUUGGUGAGGUAAUGGCCCACCAAACCUGUUACCGGUACGGGCUCUGAGAGGAGGAGCCCGGAGAUGGGCACUGAGACAAGGGCCCAGGCCCUAUGGGGCGCAGCAGGCGCGAAACCUCUGCAAUAGGCGAAAGCUUGACAGGGUUACUCUGAGUGAUUUCCGCUAAGGAGAUCUUUUGACACCUCUAAAAAUGGUGUAGAAUAAGGGGUGGGCAAGUCUGGUGUCAGCCGCCGCGGUAAUACCAGCACCCCGAGUGGUCGGGACGAUUAUUGGGCCUAAAGCAUCCGUAGCCGGUCCUACAAGUCUUCCGUUAAAUCCACCUGCUCAACAGAUGGGCUGCGGAAGAUACUAUAGGGCUAGGAGGCGGGAGAGGCAAGCGGUACUCAGUGGGUAGGGGUAAAAUCCUCUGAUCCAUUGAAGACCACCAGUGGCGAAGGCGGCUUGCCAGAGCGCGCUCGACGGUGAGGGAUGAAAGCUGGGGGAGCAAACCGGAUUAGAUACCCGGGUAGUCCCAGCUGUAAACGAUGCAGACUCGGUGAUGGGUUGGCCUUGUGCCAACCCAGUGCCGCAGGGAAGCCGUUAAGUCUGCCGCCUGGGGAGUACGGUCGCAAGACUGAAACUUAAAGGAAUUGGCGGGGGAGCACCACAAGGGGUGAAGCCUGCGGUUCAAUUGGAGUCAACGCCGGG